rnacentral:lncRNA from 1 species
CGAUUGAACCAAGUAAAUACAAGUUAUAGAAAGAAAGGAAAAUAAGCUUCUCAAAAGCAGAUGUAAAACAAUAUAAUCAAAAGAGGAGUCUAGAAGCCCUCAAACGCUUUUAAGCUGAAGUAGAGGAAUGGCUUCUUGAACUCCGAUCUCCUCUCGAAUGAGUAGUCGACUUGAAUGCAGGAGGAGGAGGCUUUAAUUGCUGGGAAGAUGUAGUUGGUUGCAGUAAAUGCUGAUCUUCUCCUUUUUCGUUGAAGAGCACGUUGCAGAGCUUGAAAGCUUGAAUGCUUGGAGUGGAAUGGUUGUUCUCUGCCUUGCUACAGUCUUCUGUGGCUAUUUAAGCCAACCCCCACGGAAACUAGCCGUUACACUGCUUUUUCUGUCCGUUCUGCACACUCUGCGCAGUCUGACAAUAUGACUGUUGGUGGGUUGGAGUCGACUCGCGCGAUCAGGAGUCGACUCGGCUGUAGCGGGAGUCGACUCAAGCUUUUCCGGAGUCGACUCGGCAACUGUUCCAAAUUUGAAUUAAAGUUGCCGUCACGACUGGGAGUCGACUCGUCUUGACCCGGAGUCGACUCGCCAACUUCUGGAGCUGACCUGGCAAUUUUGGAGUCGGCUCAUCCACAGAAGUCCGUGGAUCCAAUUUUGAAUUUUGUCCACUCGAGUCGACUCGACUGUCCUUGGAGUCGACUCGAAUCUCAGAGCCCGAACUCCCGAUCCUCU